GUUGAGGACCUGCUUGAAGUGACCGAGAGUGACCCGGUCCGGCGGCACCGCCACCUUCACCAAGUACGGCGUCUCUUCCUCGUCCAUGUGGAUUGGAAACUGCUGGAUGUCCUUGCAAGUCAGAAGCUGAGAAGAACAAGAAUAAGGAAUCAGUCUGUCCUGGCAAGUUGACCAAAGUGCAACUUCCAGAGCGCAGACAGGAAGGACACUGUUACUGAGGUCUCGGCAAUUGUUGGCUUUCCUCAAUGCCAAUUUGCCACAGUUUUAUUGGACAACACAAUCACAAGCAUUGAACUAUAAAAAAUCUGCAACGGAGGG